rnacentral:pre_miRNA from 1 species
UAUGCAGGAGCCACUUAGGCUAGCCUACAAGACUGCUCAUGAAACCACACCCCAAGGGCAGUUAAGUUUCGAGGGAGGAAAAAGACACAGGCAAGUCCUCCUUGGCUAUCAGGGAUAAGGCCCUUGCAG